GUAGCCUCCAACUCCCCCCUCCCCUUUUCUGUCCUGAGUUUACUGACGUAAGCAGGGGAGGCGCGCGAGGAGGGGUGCUGUUCUGGUGCUGAUACGAGGAGCUCGCGGACGACUGCGGGAGAGCUGACGGGAGAUUCGCGCGCAUGCCCCGGUCCUCCUCCUCCUCUUCCUCCUCCAUCGCUCCCUCUCGCGCUCUCCUCGAGAAAAAAAACAAAUUGGCUCCGUGUGCUCCACCGAUGGAUUAUUAACGUGUGUGUGUGUUUGUGUGCCAUGGGACAUCGCGAAUGAUGGAAUAUGUGUAUGUGCUCCUCGCGCUCCUGCUCUAUAGCAGAGCGGACGCGGAAAGGAAAAUCGGGUGCCUGUUUGCCAAUGACCUCUGUGAAGACUAUGAAAUCUGUAUUAAUGAUGCUUUUAUUUGGGCAGUGCCAGUCGCCCCCGGCAACCGAAGUGUACACGUAUGACGUCACAGCAGCAGAGGUGGAUCGCUACGGACACUACUACAGAAAACUCUCUUACCGAGGUAUGCACACACACACACACGCACACACACACACACACAUACAUGCAAUGACACCCAUACACACACACACACACAAACCACACACACACACACACACACCACACACACAUACAUGCAAUGACACCCAUACACACACACACACACACAGACACACACACACACACACACACAUACACACACACACACACAACCACACACACAGACAACCACACACACACACACACAUACACACACACACAUACAUGCAAUGACACCCAUACACACACACACACACACACAUACUAUCAUCCACACACGCAAUGCAAUGGGUUUUCAAAAUUGUUGAGUGUAAUGUGAACUCGUGUGUGCGUGUGUGUGUAUGUGCACGCGUGUGUGUGUGCAUGUGUGUGUGUGCGUUGUUUCUGUGUGCGUGUGUGUAUGUGUGUGUGUGCAUCUGUGUGUGCAUCUGUGUGUGUGUGUGUGUGUGUGUGUGUGUUCAUACACAGGGUUGACUUGGGAGGAUGAAACGACCCAGCAGGUUCUGUGGAAAGAACUCUCCAAACUGAACAGGAUCCCCCGGCCUGAGACUGCUAAAGCCAGGUCACACACACACACACACACACACACACACACACACACACACACACACACACAGAAACAACACACACACACACACCCUCUCCCCUGCCUGAGACUGCUAAAGCCAGGUCACACACACACACACACACACACACACACACACACACACACACACACACGUAUAUAACUAUACACAUACAAAUACACACACACACACCCUCUCCCUGCCUGAGACUGCUAAAGCCAGGUCACGCACACACACACACACACACACACACACACACACACACACACACACACACACACACACACACAUGGACAGACAGACACACACACAUUUACACACACACAUGCACACCACAUAUACACACAUGCAUACACCACAAACACACACCUACACACAUACUUCAGAGUGUACCAUGAUACCCUCCCCUCUCUGUCCUGAUAGGCCGGUGGCUCAGAGCGUUCCUACCGGAGGCCAAUCGCUGAAGCCUCAG
ensembl:lncRNA